AUGAAAACCAACAAAGCUCCUGGACCUGAUGGUCUGCCUAUAGAGUUUUAUCAGAAAUACUGGCACAUCAUAGGAGUAGAUAUUUUAGAUCUUUUCUGCGAAUUUUCCAAUGGAAAACUUGAUCUAGCUAGGUUUAACUAUGGUGUUCUUGCACUUAUUCCCAAAUGUGCUGAUGCUCAUACUUUGCAACAGUACAGACCUAUUUGCUUACUAAAUGUGAUUUUUAAGAUUUUUACAAAAGUGCACAACAAUAGAGCCAUUGUUGUAGCAGAUAAAGUUGUAGCUCCUGUGCAGGCAACCUUUAUUAGAGGUAGAUACAUUCUGGAUGGGGUGAUUGUGUUGCAUGAAGUAUUGCAUGAAGUACAUAGGAAAAAAGAGAGUGUGGUGCUUUUUAAAGUAGAUUUUGGAAAAGCUUAUGAUAAAAUUAAUUGGGAUUUUUUGUAUUUUGUCAUGGAAAAGAAGGGCUUCCCUCCUAAAUAUAGAGAAUGGGUCAAACAGACAGUAGAGAGGGGUAAGGUAGCUGUUAUGGUUAAUGACCAGAUUGGUCCUUUUUUUGAAAUGAAAAAGGGGCUGAGGCAAGGAGAUCCUUUGUCCCCAAUCUUGUUUAAUAUUGCUAUUGAUAUUCUUAACUUGCUCAUUUUAAAAGCUCAAGACUUGGAUCUGGUACAAGGCCUAGUGCAAAACUUAAUACCAAAUAGGAUUAGUAUGUUACAAUAUGCAGAUGAUACUAUCUUUAUGUUUAAGGAUAAUCUGGAGAGUGCUAGGAACUUGAAAUUGAUUCUUUGUCUGUUUGAACAACUUUCAGGUCUCAAAGUUAACUUCCAUAAAAGUGAGGUUUUUUGUUUUGGUGAGGCUAAAGGGAAACAAGAGUGUUAUUCUAAUAUUUUCACUUGUGCUGUUGGUAAACUACCUUUUAAGUAUUUAGGGAUACCUAUUAAUGUUGUGAGGCUAUGUAAUAGUGAUUGGAAUUGGCCUGAGGAGAAGAUGGAGAAGAAAUUGAGUGUUUGGAAAGGUAGAAAUAGAUCAUAUGGGGGUAGAUUAAUACUAAUUACUUCCAGUUUGUCCACUAUUCCACUACUAGGGAAAACCCUAGCAGCAGCGCGGGUUUUAGACCUAUCAGUAGCACGGGGUUAUGCGCUACUGAUAAGGCGAUACAACUAA
rnacentral:rRNA from 1 species